UUAGGGUUCGGUUCCGGAGAGGGAGCCUUAAAAACGGCUACCACUUCCAAGGAAGGCAGCAGGCGCACAAAUUACCCAAUCCUGAUACAGGGAGGUAGUGACAAGAAAUAACAAUACAGGUCCUUCAACGGACUUGUAAUUGGAAUGAGUACAAUGUAAACAUCUUAACGAGGAACAAUUGGAGGGCAAGUCUGGUGCCAGCAGCCGCGGUAAUUCCAGCUCCAGUAGCGUAUAUUAAAGUUGUUGCAGUUAAAAAGCUCGUAGUCGAAUCAAGGGGCAUCAGGUCCUGUAACAGGGGCCUCUUAGCCGAACUUUGGUCUCGUUAUCUUUUUUCAAACUCUGCUUGCUCCUCAAAAGGGGGUGAGUGGGGGGGAUCAGAGGGAGGGGUGCUCCCUUAAUUUUCUGGAUCCAGCUCCUCUGGCCUUAACUGGUUGGGGGAGCCGUUCCAGAUCGUUUACUUUGAAAAAAUUAGGGUGUUUAAAGCAGGCUUAUUAAUUAUGCCUUGAAUAGAUUAGCAUGGGAUAAUAGAAUAGGACUGUGCCAUCAUUUCCCAACUGGUUUGGGCGGCGCAGUAAUGAUUAAUAGGAACGGUCGGGGUUAUUCAUAUUUACUUGUCAGAGGUGAAAUUCUUAGAUUUUGUAAAGAUGAACCUAUGCGAAAGCAUCUAACAAGGACGCUUUCAUUGAUCAAGAACGAAAGUUAGGGGAUCGAGGACGAUCAGAUACCGUCGUAGUCUUAACUAUAAACGAUGUGGGCCAAGGAUCGGGGGGUGUUAUUUGUACAACUCUCCCGGCACUUUGUGAGUAAUCAUUGAGCUUUUGCACUCCGGGGGGAGUAUGGUCGCAAGGCUGAAACUUAAAGGAAUUGACGGAAGGGCACCACCAGGAGUGGAGCCUGCGGCUUAAUUUGACCCAACACGGGAAAACUCACUAGGUCAGGACAUAGCAAGGAUUGACAGAUUGAUAGUUCUUUCUUAAUUUCUAUGGGUGGUGGUGCAUGGCCGUUCUUAGUUGGUGGAGUGAUUUGUCUGGUUAAUUCCGAUAACGAACGAGACCUCAACUUAUUAACUAGUGGUGCCAAACUUCUACAUGGGUGAAGCUAGGUUUAGGUCAUGGUACGCUCGUAAGGGUGGCACUGUGCCGGUCUAGUGGAUCCUUGAUGCUUUGGCGCUUUACCUUUACUUCUUAAAGGGACUAUCCAUGUUUAAUGGGUGGAAGUGAGGCAAUAACAGGUCUGUGAUGCCCUUAGAUGUCCUAGGCUGCACGCGCGCUACACUGACAGGAUCAAAUAGUUUUUUUAACCUUGCCCGAAGGGGUUGGGUAAUCUGAAAAAUCUUGUCGUGACAGGGAUCGAUUAUUGUAAUUAUUAGUCGUGAACGAGGAAUUCCUAGUAAACGUAAGUCAUCAGCUUACGUUGAUUACGUCCCUGCCCUUUGUACACACCGCCCGUCGCUCCUACCGAUUGAAUGGUUCGGUGAAAUGUUUGGAUUCUGGGAUAUCAACCACUUCGGUGGUCGUCUCGGAAGAAGAUCAGUAAACCUUAUCAUUUAGAGGAAGGAGAAGUCGUAACAAGGUU
rnacentral:rRNA from 1 species